rnacentral:misc_RNA from 1 species
AAGUCGUAACAAGGUAACCGUAGGUGAACCUGCGGUUGGAUCAUUAACAAAAUGAUAAAGAGGCUGAGAGGGAGACCUCCAGUUUUUCUUUAUAAACCUUUGUGAACCAUAAUUGUAUCUUGGUGGGUUUAGUAGUAUAUUAAUUUAUUUACUUACUACCCACCAAAAAACUUUUGAACUUUUAUUUAUUUUAAAUCAUUAAUAACUAAAAAUUAUUAUUAAAACAACUUUUGACAACGGAUCUCUAGGCUCUC